rnacentral:lncRNA from 1 species
GAAAAUGCAUCCUCUCUCCUCGACAGCUUGGAGAGAAAAAACACACAGUGAAAAACAGGAAACCAGUGUACGUCACAUCCAGUCUCCCUUUCCCGUGAGAAACUCCAACAGUACAGACUGUGGAAUGUAAACACCUGUCUUGUGACUGCAGUUGCUGCACAGUGAAGGAAAACAGAAACCAACAUCCUCCCCCUUUCUGUGAACAUCACUGGGCAGCGUGUUCGUACAGUAUCAGUACAAACCCAACUUCUGCACAUAGGUACAGUGUUGAUCCCUUGAUACAAUCUUGGACAAUACAUCAGCAGGAAUUUCAUUACCUGGCAUAUAGGACACCGUUACGAGUCCCUUCUGAAUACAUUCCCUAGCAUGCUGCAACUUUAAUUGCAAGUGCUUUGUGCUUUGCUUACAACCUUCAGACUUCAGCAAAGCCAAACAUGCUUUGUUGUCCUGGUAAACCUGGAUUGGACAUUUGACAGGAAUUUUCAUAUCUUUGCACAAUUGUACUAACCAUUCACAAUCCUUAAGUGAAUAAGACAGUGCAUUCAGUUCGGCUUCACAAGUACUUAAGCUAACUGUUGUUUGCUUCUUGCAUGACCAAUCAAAAAGACCCUGAUUGUACAUGUAGCAAACUCCAGACGUACUUUUCCUGUCUGUAGCGUCACUUCCAAAACUUGCAUCUGCAAAUAUCUCAAGACCACCAGACUUCUGAUUGUUAAAUCUCAGUCUGUAAUGCAUAGUGCCUUUCAAAUACCGCGCUAUGCGUUUCAGAGCUUUCCAAUCCUUGACACUAGGAUUGUUGACUUGUCUGCUUAGCAAAUUACAGCUAACAGCAAUGUCUGGUCUUGAACAUCUGGCAAUGAAGUUUAGCUUGCCUAGCACACUCCUGUACAGUGUAGUGUCAGAAAAUGCUUCUUCAGUGUCAUCUACCUGAUAACCUGUUGUCAUCGGUGUGUCUACAGGGUUAGCAUCCAUCAGAUUUAGUUUGCUUAACACAUCAGCAAUUUUCCGUGACUGGUGUACUAGAAUGUUACCAUCUUGAUCUCUCUCUAUUUCCAGAGAUAGGUAGUUGUUUACCUCACCAAGAUCUUUCAUGUCAAAGUGCUC